GGCGGUGAGACCUAUCUGGCUGGGACAUCUGCCACACCAUUGAUUUCCAGGGUUGAUUCGGCUGACCUGGCUGGCCAGGUGGGCGUCCCCUUCCUCCCUCACCAUUCCACUUGUGUCCCUCCCUAAGCUGCAUGCUAAGUCACAGAGAAUGACCUUCCCCGAUGGAGAAGGACUGUUGCCAGGUCAACCGUAUCUGAGUUCUGCGCUCCCCUGCUAGAACGUUCAAUCAAGCUCUCAAGGCCCAUUUGUAGGAGAAUGUAGGACAGCCAAGCUUCCAAGACUCCAGACACAUCCAAAUGAGGUGCUGCUUGUGACAGUCUGCCUUAAAAA
rfam:Felis catus isolate Cinnamon breed Abyssinian chromosome A1, whole genome shotgun sequence.